GCAGCAGUUGUGACCUGAUAUGUGUGCUGUGUUCGAAACGGAAGGCAGUUGCCUCGCUGCCUCGAUACCGUAAUAGACAGUUGCCUCAGAAGGCCACAAGCAACAUUGAUGCAGAACAUAUGUACGUGCUGGAGGUCAAGUGUCAACAGAAGACAUGACGUGGCUCUUAAUGUCUCAAGGAAGGCCUUCGGGGCUACAAUUUCAACAUCUUCUUCAGAUGGUAAACAGAAGCAGCUAGGGAGGGACUGGUGGGCGUGUUUGGAUUCCCGUCUGGACAAAAACCCUGGCCCCGCACGUGCACAGAACCACCUUUGUGUGAGUCCUCCACCACUCUCCAACAUGCUGUCAACUGGCGCUUGUAUUUGGGAAGGACUGACGACACAGGUCUAUCAAGAACAUAUGUCCCCACUAACCCUGGAGAGCUUCGCCAGUGUGAGGGCAGCCACUUUACAAAGCGUUCUUGUUGG